GAGGGCGGGCCCCUCGAACACGCCGAUUAGGCGGUGUGUUCAAACCACCCUGAGCUGCAUUUGUAAAGAGCGUUUGUGACCCGCUUUAGUGCGAGACCGAAAUAAAAGACGUUUUUAGGG
rfam:Glaciecola punicea DSM 14233 = ACAM 611 DNA, contig: CTG016.